GAUGAAGAACGCAGCGAAAUGCGAUAAGUAAUGUGAAUUGCAGAAUUCAGUGAAUCAUCGAAUCUUUGAACGCACAUUGCGCCCGCCAGUAUUCUGGCGGGCAUGCCUGUUCGAGCGUCAUUACACCCCUCAGGCCCCCGGGCCUGGCGUUGGGGAUCGGCGGAAGCCCCCUGUGGGCACACGCCGUCCCUCAAAUACAGUGGCGGUCCCGCCGCAGCUUCCAUUGCGUAGUAGCUAACACCUCGCAACUGGAGAGCGGCGCGGCCAUGCCGUAAAACACCCAACUUCUGAAUGUUGACCUCGAAUCAGGUAGGAAUACCCGCUGAACUUAAGCAUAUCAAUAAGCGGAGGA
rnacentral:misc_RNA from 1 species